UAGGGAAUCUUCCGCAAUGGACGAAAGUCUGACGGAGCAACGCCGCGUGAGUGAAGAAGGAUUUCGGUUCGUAAAACUCUGUUGUUAGGGAAGAAAAAAUGUAUAGUAACUAUAUACAAAAGAGACGGUACCUAACCAGAAAGCCACGGCUAACUACGUGCCAGCAGCCGCGGUAAUACGUAGGUGGCAAGCGUUGUCCGGAAUUAUUGGGCGUAAAGGGUGCGUAGGUGGUCUUUCAAGUCGGUGGUUAAAGGCUACGGCUCAACCGUAGUUAGCCUCCGAAACUGGAAGACUUGAGUGCAGGAGAGGAAAGUGGAAUUCCCAGUGUAGCGGUGAAAUGCGUAGAUAUUGGGAGGAACACCAGUAGCGAAGGCGGCUUUCUGGACUGCAACUGACACUGAGGCACGAAAGCGUGGGUAGCAAACAGG
rnacentral:rRNA from 1 species